ACCUGGUUGAUCCUGCCAGUAGUCAUAUGCUUGUCUCAAAGAUUAAGCCAUGCAUGUCUAAGUUUAAGCAAUAAACGGUGAAACUGCGAAUGGCUCAUUAAAUCAGUCAUAGUUUAUUUGAUGGUACCCUACUACAUGGAUAACUGUGGUAAUUCUAGAGCUAAUACAUGCUGAAAAAUCCCGACUUCUGGAAGGGAUGUAUUUAUUAGAUAAAAAACCAAUGCCCUUCGGGGCUCCUUGGUGAAUCAUAAUAACUUAACGAAUCGCAUGGCCU
rnacentral:rRNA from 1 species